rnacentral:rRNA from 1 species
UGAGUAACCUGCCCUUAACUCUGGGAUAAGCCUGGGAAACUGGGUCUAAUACCGGAUAUGACUCCUCAUCGCAUGGUGGGGGGUGGAAAGCUUUAUUGUGGUUUUGGAUGGACUCGCGGCCUAUCAGCUAGUUGGUAGGGUAAUGGCCUACCAAGGCUACGAUCAGUAGCUGGUCUGAGAGGAUGAUCAGCCACAUUGGGACUGAGACACGGCCCAAACUCCGUACGGGAGCAG